GCCAGCAGCCAGACCAAGGGCAACCCUGCCUUAGCUGAAUCUCUGAAGCUAAGCAGGUGUGGGCUUGGUUAGUACUGGAUAGGAGACCAACUGGAAACACUGAGUUGCUGCUGGAA
rnacentral:rRNA from 10 species